AAGACCUUGCGCUUUUGGAGCGGCCGAUGCCUGAUUAGCUUGUUGGUAAGGUAAAAGCUUACCAAGGCUUCGAUCAGUAGCUGGUCUGAGAGGACGGCCAGCCACACUGGGACUGAGACACGGCCCAGACUCCUACGGGAGGCAGCAGUGGGGAAUUUUGGACAAUGGGGGCAACCCUGAUCCGGCCAUGCCGCGUGAGUGAAGAAGGCCUUCGGGUUGUAAAGCUCUUUCAGCCGGAACGAAACGGUUACGGUUAAUACCCGUGAUUACUGACGGUACCGGAAGAAGAAGCACCGGCUAACUACGUGCCAGCAGCCGCGGUAAUACGUAGGGUGCGAGCGUUAAUCGGAAUUACUGGGCGUAAAGCGUGCGCAGGUGGUUUUGUAAGUCAGAUGUGAAAGCCCCGGGCUCAACCUGGGAACU
rnacentral:rRNA from 1 species